GCAGGCACGACCACAAUGGCUGCACUUGAAUGCAUCACAAAUUGGCGGAAAGAAGAAGAAAAAAAACAUACACAUGUGAACGAUCCACAUUGUGAUUCCACAAGGAAACUGGCACCGCGGUGAUUUGACGGAUUCCGCGCGCGCGCACAGCGGAAACGUCUCUGCGACCGAAGGUGUGUGUUAUUGUCUAAUACUGGGCGAAGAGGAAGAAAAUAAUAAUAAUAAUGAUAAUGUAGCAGCCCGUCGCUUCGUGACUCCGCAGCCACGGUCCCUCUGGCGAACACUGGCGUGUCUCUGUGCACACACACACACACACACACACGCGUCGUCGGUAGCAAAGACCUCCACUCACCUUGGUCCGGUCGCCUCCUGUUGUCCACUUGUUACUACGGAGACUCGCCACCAUGGAUCCCCCUCGGUGAAGUUUCCUGGCAGUCGGACAACAAACAAACCCAACAAGAAAAAGCCGAGGCGCGCCGAACUGGGCCGAAGCUUGAAGCAGAGGCUGGUGGUAAUGGACAGGUGUUAAAGUUCUCACCUGGAGGAUGCUCACAACUUUUUUGGCGAGGAAUGGGCCCGGAUUGGAGGCUUGCGACAUUCCCACUCCGGUGUAGUCGGCCAAGAUGACGAUGCCGUUCACCUGCGCUUCCUCCGGCUGGAUGAGCUUCUCCAGCGUCAGGCUACAUCGCUGCUGGAAGAAGUACACAGCAACAUCAACUUACUCCACUACAGGUAAAACUCAUGCUCUCAAAAAUCACACUUAGAUUAAAGUGAAGAAAUAUUAUGCACACAAUGUAGCUAAAGUAAAAUAAAAGAGCAGCUUCUGCAGUAAGAUGUCGCCUGAUAUAUAAGUAUAUAUAUUUUUUAAAUAUAUUACGCAUUAUUAUAAUUGUUAACACUAAUAAGUAAGCAGCAUUUCACUCUUGGUUGUAGCUUUUAGCUUCUUUAAACAUAUACUCCGAUUUUUAAGUCCAGUUUUUCCUCUACUGAAGUACGGAAGAGUAUUAGG